rnacentral:rRNA from 1 species
GGGGAAUUUGGGACAAUGGGCGCAAGCCUGAUCCAGCAAUGCCGCGUGCAGGAUGAAGGCCUUCGGGUUGUAAAUGCUUUUGUACGGAACGAAACGGCUCCUAUUAAUACUGGGGGCUAAUGACGCUACCGUAAGAAUAAGCACCGGCUAACUACGUG